CGAAAGCCUGACGGAGCGAUACCGCGUAAGGGAGGAAGGCUCUUGGGUUGUAAACCUCUUUUCUCAAGGAAUAAGUUCUGAAGGUACUUGAGGAAUAAGCAUCGGCUAACUCCGUGCCAGCAGCCGCGGUAAUACGGAGGAUGCAAGCGUUAUCCGGAAUUAUUGGGCGUAAAGCGUCCGUAGGUGGCUGUUAAAGUCUGCCGUUAAAGACCGGGGCUUAACUCCGGAAAAACUGCGGAAACUGAACAGCUAGAUUAGGGUAGGGGUAAGGGGAAUUCCCGGUGUAGCGGUGAAAUGCGUAGAUAUCGGGAAGAACACCGGUGGCGAAGGCGCCUUACUGGACCCUAACUGACACUGAGGGACGAAAGCUAGGGGAGCG
rnacentral:rRNA from 1 species